GGCCGCGUGUAUCCCAGAGCAUUCGGGCCAUACUGACCUACCGUGGCCCGCUCCUUCCCCUGGUUUAUCACCAGCGGUCCUCUACGAGUGCAGAAUCCUCGAAAGGUUCCUUGGCAACAUAGAGUGCGGGUCUCGCUCGUUACCGGACUUAACCGGACACCUCACGGCACGAGCUGACGGCGGCCAUGCAGCUCCUCUCAGCGCAUCAGGUAAGCUCUUCAAGCUGACCGUCAUCUUGCUGUCGGCUCUGGUAGGGUACUCUGCGUUUGAUCUAAUUAAACCGCAGUCUCCACCGGUUGUGGUGCUCCCCCGUCAAUUCCUUUAAGUUUCAGCCUUGCGACCGUACUACCCAGGUGGUCUGUUUAUCGUUUUCACUUCGGCACCGGAAAACCUCGAAGGUUCUCCGACAUCAAACAGACAAUGUUUACAGCCAGGACUACGCGGGUAUCUAAUCCGCUUUGCUCCCCUAGCUUUCGUUCCUCACCGUCGAGUCCGUACUCGUCGAGCGCUUUCGCCACAGGUGCUCCUCCAAGGAUUUUAGGAUUUCACCCCUACCCUUGGAAUAGCCUCGACGCCGUCCGGUUCCUAGACCUGCAGUAUCCGCUGCACGCCCACAUGUUAAGCAUGUGGAUUUCACAGCAGACUUGCCGGUCCGGCUACGAACACUUUAAACCCAAUAAUAAUGACUACCACUUGGGGCUCUGCUAUUACCGCGGCGGCUGGCAGCAGUAUUGCCCACCCCUUGUUCCGGCACCUCCUUACAGUGCAGAAAAGUAGCCUUCCUUGUGGGAAGACUACACUCGGAGUCCCCUUAUCGCACGUUAGUGCAUUGUAAAGGUUUCGUGCCUGCUGCACCCCGUAGGGUCCGUGUUCUUGUCUCAGAACACGACUGGCAGCUCCCGCUCUCACGGCUGCUACUGAUCACUGGCUUGGUAAGCCGUUACCUCACCAACGACCUAAUCAGCUGCGGCCCCAUCCUAUGGCGUCGGAACAUUUCACAGAGGAAUCUAUUCCAGAUAUCCUCUGCUAUUGAGUAUUAGCCUCAGUUUCCCGAGGUUAUCCUCAUCCAUAGGGCAGGUUGGCCACAUGUUACUCAGCUAUCUGCCCCGAACGAAUCGGUGGACUAGCAUGGCUAAAUCGGACUCCGAUAGCGGUAGCCUCCGGCGGGAUCAACCG
rnacentral:rRNA from 1 species